rnacentral:lncRNA from 1 species
CUUCCGUUGGCAUUCACCAUGCACCAGGUAUAUGACAAGCACUGCAAUAGGCACUGUGACACACGGGGACAGAGUCACGGACACCUGAUCUUUAAUGUGUGUUCCCAACUUAUACAGUGUUUAUGACAACAAGAUUGGAUGGCUUAAUAGCUUUGAACUCACCAUGUGACCCCCUUGCAGCCAGGAUACCUUGCCUCCUAGUAUUGUAUUUACCUCCAACCCAACAGUUAAAUGCCAUUCAGCCCUUAAAGUUCAUUUCAUGUGUCAUCUUCUUCAAGACAUGUAUCUUCUUCUCCAUAAUCAGAUGCACAUCUUUGAAGUUUAAUGAUAACUGCCUAUGGAAGUUGCAUUAUUUAUUAAUAAUUAUUCUCAGUCCUCUAGGCCUUAAAGUCUGCAAGGGUUGUGAUUAUAUCUCACACAUGCUUAUGCCACUUACAGUGCAAUAUAAAUAAUUUGUUUAUAUAAGAGCUCUACAACUUUUUUAAUGCUUGAAUAUCAUCAACUUUAUUGUUCUUCUUAGAAUUUUUUAUCACAGUGACAUUCACAUUUCAUCAGUCCAGUAUCAUCUAAAGAUGGGUAAAGAUGUUGUGUACCCACCACCUUUAUCGAGUUCCCAAAAGUUUUCAUUGCCCCCAAAGAAAUCCCCAUAUCUACUAAGCAGCAAAUCCUUAUCCCUUCCUCCCUCCAGUCUCUGGCAACCCUGAAUCUGCUUUCUGUCUCCAUGGAUUUACCUAUUCUGCAUUUUUCAUGUAAAUUGAAUCAUAUAAUAUGUGACCUUUUAUGUCUGGCUUCUUCACUUAGUGUGAUGUUUUCUAGGUUAAUUAAUGUUAUAGUAUAUACCUGUCUUUUAUUCCUUUUUAUUACUGAAUAAUAUUCUAUUACACGAGUAUAACACAGUUGUUUUAUUCACUCAUCCAGUGAUGUGAAUUUGGAUUUUUAACCCCUUUGGCUAUUUUUAAAUAGUGCUGCUAUGAAAAUGCAUUCAUGUAAAUUUGCUUGAAUACCAGUUUCCCAUCAUUCCCAUAUAUCUGCAUUUAUACAUAUCUAGGAAUGGAAUUGUUGGUCAUAGGGUAGUUUUAGCUUUUUUAAGAAGCAUGCAUUGGUUCCUCAAACACAAUUGCAUUGGCUGAACCAUGUAACAUUCUUACCAGCAAUGUAUGAGAGUUCAAUUUCUCUGCAUAUCCUCACCAACACCUUAUUUCCUGUUUUUUUCCUUUAUUUAAAAAUUAUGAUCAUGCUAAUAGGUAUGAAGUGGUCUCUCAUGGUGGGUUGUUUGUUUUUGUUUUGUUUGUUUGUUUUGUAGUUCUUUGGCAAUUUCUGAAAGACUAAUGAUAUAGAACAUCUUCUCUUGUGCUUUUUGGCCAUUGAAAUGGUGUGUCCCCAAAAGCUCAUAAGUUAGAAAAUGCAGGAAUGAUCAAAGGUGAAAGGAUUAGAUUAUAAUCCUCAUUGGUGGAUUGAUUCAUUUGAUGGAUCAAUAAUUUGAAAGUUAUACUAUACUGUAGUCAGGUGAGGGGGAGUGUCCUCAUAGUAUAUGUUGCCCCUGGCUCCUAGAUCUCUCUGUUACUUUCUGCUAACAUGACCUGAGCACCUUUGCUCUGCCGUAUCCUUCCACCAUAAUGCUCUGCUUCAUCUCAGGUCGGGAGCACUGGAGUUGGCUAACCAUAGACUGAGACUGUGAAACUGUGAGCCAAAAGAAAAUUGCCUCUCUGUCAUUCUGGUCAGAUAUUUUUGCCAUAGCAAUGAAAAACUAACAAGAAUGUCCACAGCUGAUUGCACUGAUCUUAAAAUAUAUGGUCCAGCCUAGUUAGAAGACCUGUCUCUGAUGAUCAGCUUUGAUAGUUUUCCAUUGCUUUUAGGAUACAGUUUUAGGCUCCUUUAGAAGAGCUAACAAGGUAGUUCUUGAUUUAACCUAUUCUCCUCUCUCCCAUUUGCCCUUUCUCAAUGGUACCCUUUACUCUAGCCUUACAGAAUUAUUUGUAGUUUCCUGACUAUUCCAAAAGAGGAAGGGGUGGAGUCCUAAAUAUUCCCUUCAAAGACAUACCACCAAUGGCUUAACUUCUUUCCACUAGGAGCCCCAUGGGCCUUUGGGCGACAUCCCAGAUUCAAAAUACAGCACCAUCUCCUCCCUAGAAACCCCUUCCCUUCUACUCUUCCCCUUCCUACCAACAUUCUUACUCUCCCACCCUAUCCCCAGCUAACCUUCACUAUUCAUUGCCAAGGUUGAAGACUCCACCUGUGUGAUUAAAUACUUUGCAGCAGAAGCAUUUAGUGCACUGGAUUAAUAUGAGCUGCUCCCCAUCUGCCUGCACUAGUUUGGAAACUUCCUGAGGGUGGGAUUUCUUAUACCUAGGAAAUAUACAGGAUUUCCUACACCUAGCUCCAGAUCAGGCUGUGUCAUCCAUGAGGCCCAGUACAAAAUGCAAAUAAAAGGCUCUUGUUCAGAUUUCAGAAUGUGGACAGCAGAGUGUCAAAUCAAGGGGACCACAAAUGUUGGAAGCAGGCUGCACCUAGAAAUGUUAAUCAUGCAAAGAAUGCCCACUGUGGAUUUUAUCACAGUAAAUAAAGACCUACUGAUAUUUGAGAUAACAUUGUAAUUUUCUAAUCCUUGGUUGAAAGGCGAAAGAGAAACCACAUUUUUUUUUCUGAUUAGUUUUUCAACAGGAUGUCAAAAUGCUAAACUUUCUGUCUCAGUUUUGCCUAUACACAGAGGUUAAGAGUAAACCAACCACAAAACUGAGGCUAUUCACUUGUUGUGCAAGGGCACCAUCAGCAAUUCUCUGAGUGGUUUGCUGAGAGGGAAAAGUCUGGAAUGUUUUAAAGGCUCUACAGGGAGACCUCAUGCAUGACUGUGUUAAUACAAUAGUGUAAUCCAGCGCUCUGGUCAGGACA